GAUGAACGCUGGCGGCGUGCCUAAUACAUGCCAGUCGAGCGAACAGACGAGGAGCUUGCUCCUCUGACGUUAGCGGCGGACGGGUGAGUAACACGUGUAUAACCUACCUAUAAGACUUGGAUAACUUCGGGAAACCGGAGCUAAUACCGGAUAAUAUAUUUAACCGCAUUGUUCAAUAGUGAAAGACGGUUUUGCUGUCACUUAUAGAUUGAUCCGCGCCGCAUUAGCUAGUUGGUAAGGUAACGGCUUACCAAGGCAACGAUGCGUAGCCGACCUGAGAGGGUGAUCGGCCACACUGGAACUGAGACACGGUCCAGACUCCUACGGGAGGCAGCAGUAGGGAAUCUUCCGCAAUGGGCGAAAGCAUGACGGAGCAACGCCGCGUGAGUGAUGAAGGUCUUCGGAUCGUAAAACUCUGUUAUUAGGGAAGAACAAAUGUGUAAGUAACUAUGCACGUCUUGACGGUACCUAAUCAGAAAGCCACGGCUAACUACGUG
rnacentral:rRNA from 1 species